AGCUAAUAGAUACCCAGGUAGUCCACGCCCUAAACGAUGUCUACUAGUUGUUGGUGGAGUAAAAUCCAUGAGUAAACGCAGCUAACGCGUGAAGUAGACCGCCUGGGGAGUACGGUCGCAAGAUUAAAAACUCAAAGGAAUUGACGGGGGCCCGCACAAGCGGUGGAUUAUGUGGAUUAAUUCGAUGCAACGCGAAAACCUUACCUGGCCUUGACAUGCCACUAACGAAGCAGAGAUGCAUUAGGUGCCCGUAAGGGAAAGUGGACACAGGUGCUGCAUGGCUGUCGUCAGCUCGUGUCGUGAGAUGUUGGGUUAAG
rnacentral:rRNA from 1 species